ACUCCUACGGGAGGCAGCAGUGGGGAAUUUUGGACAAUGGGGGAAACCCUGAUCCAGCCAUGCCGCGUGAGUGAAGAAGGCCUUCGGGUUGUAAAGCUCUUUCAGCCGGAACGAAACGGUCACGGCUAAUACCUGUGACCACUGACGGUACCGGAAGAAGAAGCACCGGCUAACUACGUGCCAGCAGCCGCGGUAAU
rnacentral:rRNA from 1 species